GACGAACGCUGGCGGCGCGCUUAACACAUGCAAGUCGAGCGAGAACCAUGCCUUCGGGCAUGGGGACAGCGGCGAACGGGUGAGUAACACGUGGGUAAUCUGCCCUUGACAUCGGGAUAGCCCGGGGAAACCCGGAUUAAUACCGAAUAGCCUCCGAAGCCCUCGGGCGUCGGAGAAAGGUAGCUUCGGCCUCUGGUCAAGGAUGAGCCCGCGGCGGAUUAGCUUGUUGG
rnacentral:rRNA from 1 species